GUGAUGAAUAUCUCAAGGUUAGUAUUUUAUGUUGCCUUCAGUAUGUGACUUUACUAAUUUACUAUUACUGGUGGGUGAAAAAUCUUAAUGGCCACUGACCUUUCAACACUGUUUCCCACUGACCUUUCAACACUGUUUCCCGAAAUCACUGCACUUAAAAGGUUUUUCCGAAAGUUUCACCAUCAAUACUCUCUAAGAUGUUAGAAUUUUAAAAAACAGUCCCUAUGCUUUCAGAGUUGUUUCGCUGCAGACGCUGAAAUUUUAACGUCCCAGUGAUCACUCCGCAUCGUUCAAGCAUAAGGAACAGAGAGACGGUUGUGAAACACUAUUGAAAGUAUUGUGGCCAUUUUGAUUUUUAACCCGUCUCCUGUCUUGUGAAUUGGAACAAGUUAAAAAUAGUAGGCCAUUCCUUUGUUUGAGGUAUCAAGACCUCGUUUUAUUUUUUUGGUAGUUUU
rnacentral:lncRNA from 1 species